UACGGAGGGUGCAAGCGUUACUCGGAAUCACUGGGCGUAAAGCGCGCGCAGGCGGCUAGAUAAGUUGGAAGUGAAAUCCUAUGGCUCAACCAUAGAACUGCUUCUAAAACUGUUUAGCUAGAGUCUGGGAGGGGAAGAUGGAAUUAGUAGUGUAGGGGUAAAAUCCGUAGAGAUUACUAGGAAUACCAAAAGCGAAGGCGAUCUUCUGGAACAGUACUGACGCUGAGGCGCGAAAGCGUGGGGAGCAAACAGGAUUAGAUACCCUGGUAGUCCACGCCCUAAACGAUGAAUGUUAGUCGUCGGGACUCUAGUAGUUUCGGUGAUGCAGUUAACACAUUAAACAUUCCGCCUGGGGAGUACGGUCGCAAGAUUAAAACUCAAAGGAAUAGACGGGGACCCGCACAAGUGGUGGAGCAUGUGGUUUAAUUCGAAGAUACGCGAAGAGCCUUACCUAGCCUUGACAUAUUUUAGAACUCCGCAGAGAUGUAGAGGUGCCUUCGGGAGCUAAUAUACAGGUGCUGCACGGCUGUCGUCAGCUCGUGUCGUGAGAUGUUGGGUUAAGUCCCGCAACGAGCGCAACCCUCGUUCUUAGUUACUAACGGUUCGGCCGAGGACUCUAAGAAGACUGCCUUCGUAAGGAGGAGGAAGGUGAGGACGACGUCAAGUCAUCAUGGCCCUUACGGCUAGGGCAACACACGUGCUACAAUGGUUAGGACAAUGAGACGCAAUACCGCGAGGUGGAGCAAAUCUAUAAACCUAAUCUCAGUUCGGAUUGUAGUCUGCAACUCGACUACAUGAAGCUGGAAUCACUAGUAAUCGUAGAUCAGCUAUGCUACGGU
rnacentral:rRNA from 1 species